GACGAACGCUGGCGGCGUGCCUAAUACAUGCAAGUCGAGCGAAUUAAUAGGAGCUUGCUCCUAUUGGUUAGCGGCGGACGGGUGAGUAACACGUGGGCAACCUGCCUGUAAGACUGGGAUAACAUCGGGAAACCGAUGCUAAUACCGGAUAAUCCUUUUCUACACAUGUAGGGAAGCUGAAAGGCGGUUUUUAGCUGACACUUACAGAUGGGCCCGCGGCGCAUUAGCUAGUUGGUGAGGUAACGGCUCACCAAGGCAACGAUGCGUAGCCGACCUGAGAGGGUGAUCGGCCACACUGGGACUGAGACACGGCCCAGACUCCUACGGGAGGCAGCAGUAGGGAAUCUUCCACAAUGGACGAAAGUCUGAUGGAGCAACGCCGCGUGAGCGAUGAAGGCCUUCGGGUCGUAAAGCUCUGUUGUUAGGGAAGAACAAGUGCUGGAGUAACUGCCGGCACCUUGACGGUACCUAACCAGAAAGCCACGGCUAACUACGUGCCAGCAGCCGCCGUAAAAC
rnacentral:rRNA from 1 species